rnacentral:rRNA from 1 species
UACGGGGGACGGAUGCAGCUCGUUCGUCGAAUUACUGGGGCGUAAAGCGUGCGUAGGCGGUUUGUUAAGUCCGCUGUGAAAGCCCCUGGGCUCAACCUGGGAAUUGCAGUGGAUACUGGCAAGCUAGAGUGCGGUAGAGGAUGGUGGAAUUCCCGGUGUAGCGGUGAAAUGCGUAGAUAUCGGAAGGAACAUCAGUGGCGAAAGCGACUUCCUGGACCAGUACCGACGUUCAGGCACGAAAGCGUGGGGAGCAAACAGG